AGCAGCCGCGGUAAUUCCAGCUCCAAUAGCGUAUAUUAAAGUUGUUGCAGUUAAAAGCUCGUAGUUGAAUUUCGGGGUUCAUCCGUUGGUCGGGCUUUUUGGUCUGUACUGGCGUGAUGGAUUCCUACCUUCUGAAUAACCAGCAUGUCAUUAAUUUGGUGCGCUGGGGAAGCAGGACUGUUACCUUGAAAAAUUAGAGUGCUUAAAGCAGGCUAUCGCCUGAAUACAUUAGCAUGGAAUAAUGAAAUAGGACGGCAUGGUUCUAUUUUGUUGGUUUCUAGGAUCACCGUAAUGGUUAAUAGGGAUAGUUGGGGGCAUUAGUAUUCAAUUGUCAGAGGUGAAAUUCUUGGAUUUAUUGAAGACUAACUUCUGCGAAAGCAUUUGCCAAGGAUGUUUUCAUUAAUCAAGAACGAAAGUUAGGGGAUCGAAGACGAUCAGAUACCGUCGUAGUCUUAACCAUAAACUAUGCCGACUAGGGAUCGGACGAUGUUAAUUUUUAAUGACUCGUUCGGCGCCUUAA
rnacentral:rRNA from 1 species